AACGAACGCUGGCGGCAUGCCUAACACAUGCAAGUCGAACGAGACCUUCGGGUCUAGUGGCGCACGGGUGCGUAACGCGUGGGAACCUGCCCUUAGGUUCGGAAUAACUCCCCGAAAGGGGUGCUAAUACCGGAUAAUGUCUUCGGACCAAAGAUUUAUCGCCUUUGGAUGGGCCCGCGUUGGAUUAGCUAGUUGGUAGGGUAAAAGCCUACCAAGGCGACGAUCCAUAGCUGGUCUGAGAGGAUGACCAGCCACACUGGGACUGAGACACGGCCCAGACUCCUACGGGAGGCAGCAGUGGGGAAUAUUGGACAAUGGGCGAAAGGCUGAUCCAGCAAUGCCGCGUGAGUGAUGAAGGCCUUAGGGUUGUAAAGCUCUUUUACCCGGGAUGAUAAUGACAGUACCGGGAGAAUAAGCUCCGGCUAACUCCGUG
rnacentral:rRNA from 1 species